ACGCUGGCGGCAUGCUUUACACAUGCAAGUCGGACGGCAGCACAGAGAAGCUUGCUUCUUGGGUGGCGAGUGGCGAACGGGUGAGUAACAUAUCGGAACGUACCGAGCAGUGGGGGAUAACUAAUCGAAAGAUUAGCUAAUACCGCAUAUAUUCUGAGGAAGAAAGCAGGGGACCAUUUGGCCUUGCGCUGUUUGAGCGGCCGAUAUCUGAUUAGCUAGUUGGUGGGGUAAAGGCCUACCAAGGCGACGAUCAGUAGCGGGUCUGAGAGGAUGAUCCGCCACACUGGGACUGAGACACGGCCCAGACUCCUACGGGAGGCAGCAGUGGGGAAUUUUGGACAAUGGGCGCAAGCCUGAUCCAGCCAUGCCGCGUGUCUGAAGAAGGCCUUCGGGUUGUAAAGGACUUUUGUCAGGGAAGAAAAGGGCGGGGUUAAUACCCCUGUCUGAUGACGGUACCUGAAGAAUAAGCACCGGCUAACUACGUGCCAGCAGCCGCGGUAAUACGUAGGGUGCGAGCGUUAAUCGGAAUUACUGGGCGUAAAGCGGGCGCAGACGGUUACUUAAGCAGGAUGUGAAAUCCCCGGGCUCAACCUGGGAACUGCGUUCUGAACUGGGUGACUAGAGUGUGUCAGAGGGAGGUAGAAUUCCACGUGUAGCAGUGAAAUGCGUAGAGAUGUGGAGGAAUACCGAUGGCGAAGGCAGCCUCCUGGGAUAACACUGACGUUCAUGCCCGAAAGCGUGGGUAGCAAACAGGAUUAGAUACCCUGGUAGUCCACGCCCUAAACGAUGUCAAUUAGCUGUUGGGCAGCAUGACUGCUUAGUAGCGAGCUAACGCGUGAAAUUGACCGCCUUGGGGAGUACGGUCGCAAGAUUAAAACUCAAAGGAAUUGACGGGGACCCGCACAAGCGGUGG
rnacentral:rRNA from 1 species